CCUANGGGUGGCUGCAGUGGGGAAUUUUGGACAAUGGGGGCAACCCUGAUCCAGCCAUGCCGCGUGCGGGAAGAAGGCCUUCGGGUUGUAAACCGCUUUUGUCCGGGAAGAAAAGGCACCCCCUAAUACGGGGUGUUCUUGACGGUACUGGAAGAAUAAGCACCGGCUAACUACGUGCCAGCAGCCGCGGUAAUACGUAGGGUGCGAGCGUUAAUCGGAAUUACUGGGCGUAAAGCGUGCGCAGGCGGUUCGUCAAGUCUGAUGUGAAAGCCCCGGGCUCAACCUGGGAAUGGCAUUGGAAACUAGCGGGCUUGAGUGUGGCAGAGGGGGGUGGAAUUCCACGUGUAGCAGUGAAAUGCGUAGAGAUGUGGAGGAACACCGAUGGCGAAGGCAGCCCCCUGGGCUAACACUGACGCUCAGGCACGAAAGCGUGGGGAGCAAACAGGAUUAGAUACCCUANUANUC
rnacentral:rRNA from 1 species